rnacentral:snoRNA from 1 species
AUCUGAUGGUGGGGGCUUUCUUAAAUCUCUCCCAGUAUUCAUAUAAGCUCUCUCCACUGAGUUGUCUAAUGCCUGAAAUAUCCUUUCUGAUGGU